AUCACUUCUCAGCCUUUUGGCUAAGAUCAAGUGUAGUAUCUGUUCUUAUCAGUUUAAAAUGGUAAUCCUAAUGUAUUUUUAUCACAAGUUUCAAUUACCUUUA
ensembl:snRNA U2 U2 spliceosomal RNA